rnacentral:rRNA from 1 species
UACGUAGGGUGCAAGCGUUAAUCGGAAUUACUGGGCGUAAAGCGUGCGCAGGCGGCGCGUUAAGACAGGUGUGAAAGCCCCGAGCUUAACUUGGGAAUUGCGCUUGUGACUGGCGUGCUGGAGUGUGGCAGAGGGAGGUGGAAUUCCACGUGUAGCAGUGAAAUGCGUAGAGAUGUGGAGGAACACCUAUGGCGAAGGCAGCACUCUGGGACGGUACUGACGCUGAGACGCGAAAGCGUGGGGAGCGAACAGG